GGCCGGAAGCCUAAACAUGCAAGUCGAACGGACCCUUCGGGGUUAGUGGCUUUACGGGUGAGUAAACCCCUUUAACGUGCCUUUAGGUUCGGAAUACUUCCUGGAAACGGGUGGUAAUGCCGAAUGUGCCCUUCGGGGGAAAGAUUUAUCCCCUUUAUAGCGGGCCGCGUCUGAUUAGCUAUUUGGUGAGGUAACGGCUCACCAAGGCGACUAUCUAUAUCUGGUCUGAAAGGAUGACCAGCCACACUGGGACUGAGACACCGCCCAGACUCCUCCCGGAGGCAGCAAUGGGGAAUCUUGCGCAAUGGGUAAAAGCCUGACGCAUCCAUGCCACGGGAAUGAUGAAGGUCUUAGGAUUGUAAAAUUCUUUCACCGGAGACCAUAAUGACGGUACCCGGAAAAGAAGCCCCGGCUAACUUCGUGCCAACAGCCGCGGUAAUCUGAAUGUGGCUAGCGUUGCUCGAAAUUACUGGUCGUAAAGGGCGCCUACGCGGAUCGUUAAGUCCGAAGUGAUAUCCCAGGGCUCAGCCUGGAACUGCCUUUGAUACUGGCGAUCUUGAGUAUGAUAAAAGGCUGUGGAUACUCCCAAUUGUAGAGGUGAAUUCCUAAAUAUUCCGGAAACACCACCUACUGAGCGGAAGGGAGACAUACUGGUUCCUUUACUGACGCCUAAAGGCUCGCAAUG
rnacentral:rRNA from 1 species